UCCAGCCUCGAGGUCGCUUCACGUGCUCCGGCCGCGGGGGGCUUUCAGAGGGGGGUGAAUCUUAUUUUCCACGCUCGUCCGCGCCCCGCGUCGUCCCAAGAAGUCAGCGCCAGGCGAGGGAGACACCCACUCCGCCAACUAAGAGCAAAGGCGCGCAAAAGGCAAAGCUUGGGACUCUUCCCCACCUUCUUCCAGAGGGAACCAGCAGCGGCGACCGCCAGCCGCUCUCCGCCUCAAGCUCGGGCUCCCGUGCCGCCAUUCCGCCAGAACCCUCUGCAUGCUGCUGAGGGCAGCUGGUGGUGGUAGCCUGGGCUCGAGCCCCGCUGCUUUUCCCCCUCCCUCGCCUCGCCUCGCUCGCCGCGCCUCCCCGUUUGUGACCCUCUCAGCCUAAACGCGCCGCGGAGAGGCGAGGCGAGGCGAAGAGGGCAUUUCGGGCCGGCGGAGGAGACAAUGAACAGCGGCAAAAGCGAGCAAGAGCUCAGCCCGGCCGAGCCGAACUUGCAAGAGGAAGAGGUACGGACACUCUUUGUCAGUGGUCUUCCUCUGGAUAUCAAGCCCCGAGAGCUCUAUCUCUUGUUCAGACCAUUCAAGGGAUAUGAAGGUUCUCUUAUUAAACUCACUUCAAAGCAGCCUGUGGGUUUCGUUACCUUUGAUAGUCGCUCAGAAGCAGAAGCUGCUAAGAAUGCCUUGAAUGGAAUUCGUUUUGACCCAGAAAUCCCUCAGACGCUCCGACUAGAGUUUGCAAAGGCCAAUACGAAGAUGGCUAAGAGCAAAUUAGUGGGAACUCCUAAUCCCAGCACUCCUGCCACCCCCAAUGCAGUACCUCAGUUCAUUACCAGAGAGCCAUAUCCGCUGGCUCCCUCCCUCAGAGGCUACUUCUCAGGGCUGGAAGUCCCGUCAGUUCUGCUGAAUCCUGUGUAUCAGGUGUGUGAUGGCGGCUACACUCUGUCUUGUGGGUAUUAAUACAUUCUUCCAAAGUCGCUAUUGAUGUCUUACCUUCAUCUUCCAAAUUGCAGUGUGGUCGGCUUUUUUAAAAAAACCUCACACAAGCGUGGAUUCCUUCAAGACUUUGCCACAGCCUCUAUCACACAUCUUCUUAAAAAUAAAAUAGAAAGUAUUGAAUAAUAAUGGUUAUGAUAAAAAUGCCAAAUCCAGCCUAAAUAUCUGGUUGACUAUGUGAUGAACCAUAAUAAUAAUAAUAAUAUGUUCCUCUUCUACACUGUAUAAAAGUUUAAGCGUUUAAAUUCUAUAAGCAUGAAUGAAUUUCUGGUUUGAAAAAAAUUAUUUUCAAGCAGAGCAGCAAAGAGAAGAACUAUUUUUUAUACCAAGCAUUUUAAGUAAGAGGACUGUACCUUGGGUGGAAGAACUGAUUAUUGUAUACGUUUGAUUUUUAAAUAUGUAUAAUCUCCUUUCCCUACCACCCUUUUAAGAUGCAUGUUCAAGGCAUGUUUUUAAAUCUGGUUCAGAUUUUUUAAAAAGUGUAUUGUUUGAAAUGCACAUUUUGGUUAUCAGGUUUUGGAGCCUGAGAUGGUGUGUUUGAAGUGUAUUCCUGUUGUAGUUAUUUUCAUGUUUCGCCUAAUUGUGCCAAAUUAUAUUGAGCAAGACAAUCAGCAAUAUAAUAGCUUUUUCAUGAUUGUAACAGUUGGUGCGCUGUAUGUUAGCAGUGCCUGAUGCUAGUUCCUGCUGUAUUUUUCUCUCUAUAUAUUUGGAUAUGCAAUUGUGUGGGAAUAAGAAGUAGUACACUGUAGAAAGUAGAAAGGCAAUUUCUAUUAUGAAUGGAAAUGUGCAGUCAUAAUUAUGGACAUUUCUACAACUGUAUCUAUCAUAGUAUACUUCUCUUCAGACAAAUAUAUCUCAUGCAGUUGUGUGUAUUAUUUAGAAAAGGAAAAAGGAAAAAACCCUGGUAUUUGUGAGAAUCCAUCCUGGAUGACCAAGCUGCCCAGGAAGUUAUGUAUUUUAAAUCAUGUUUCUAACAUCCAUAUCAUCUACUUUUGUAAGAACUUAUACACUGUGUGUAUCUUUGGAAGGUAGUUUAGUUUUGUGGUUUUGUUCCAGAUAUAAAGCAGAUUGGUUCUGGUCAUUUAUUGUUAAUCAUAUUCUUGGGGAAGGUAAGAGGUGACUGGACCAUUGAUCCAGAAAACUGAACUUCAGUUGUUGAUCCCAGCACCUCAUGCUGAUGAAAAAUGCCAAAGGUUUUUGCUGAAUCUGAUUCUAAUGAAAUGGCCAUUGUUGGGACAUUUGGCUUGCCAGCUAUUCUUGAUUUUUCCCAGAUAAUCUCAGUAGUAGUAGUCAGUCCCAAAUCUAUGCACUGAUGCCAGAUAGUGGAUUUUGAAGUGGCAGCAGUAGCAGCCCCAUUGCCCUCAUGGUCAAAACUCUCUGCCAGGAAGAAAUCUCCAAGUGCCCACUUUUAAAUAGCUAUUCAACUUCACCUACUGUAUGUCUGUGCUUUUGGGGAAAAAAAGAGAAUAGAUAAAGCUGCCUCUCAAGGAACAGAGCAAUUCUGGGAAUGAUUUCAGGCACAGCGUGCCAAGGAAAAGCUACUUCAAACUUCCCACUUUCUUGAAGGGUUUUAUAUUUAGGGGCCAGAUAAUGGCUGUAUCCAUAUGACAUUAGUUAGUCUGGAUGGAUUUUAGUACUACAAUGGGACUCUGGAACAUUGCUUUUUUUUGGGGGG